GAUGAACGCUGGCGGUAUGCUUAACACAUGCAAGUCGAACGGUACCUUCGGGUACUUAGUGGCGGACGGGUGAGUAACGCGUGAGGAUCUGCCUUCAGGAUGGGGACAACAGUUGGAAACGGCUGCUAAUACCCGAUAUGCCUACGGGUGAAAGGAUUAAUUGCCUGAAGAUGAGCUCGCGUCCGAUUAGCUAGUUGGUGGGGUAAAGACCUACCAAGGCGACGAUCCUUAGCUGGUCUGAGAGGAUGAUCAGCCACACUGGGACUGAGACACGGCCCAGACUCCUACGGGAGGCAGCAGUGGGGAAUAUUGGACAAUGGGCGAAAGCCUGAUCCAGCAAUGCCGCGUGAGUGAAGAA
rnacentral:rRNA from 1 species